UACGGAAGGCAGCAGUGGGGAAUAUUGCACAAUGGGCGCAAGCCUGAUGCAGCCAUGCCGCGUGUAUGAAGAAGGCCUUCGGGUUGUAAAGUACUUUCAGCGGGGAGGAAGGCGAUGUGGUUAAUAACCGCGUCGAUUGACGUUACCCGCAGAAGAAGCACCGGCUAACUCCGUGCCAGCAGCCGCGGUAAUACGGAGGGUGCAAGCGUUAAUCGGAAUUACUGGGCGUAAAGCGCACGCAGGCGGUCUGUUAAGUCAGAUGUGAAAUCCCCCGGGCUUAACCUGGGAACUGCAUUUUGAAACUGGCAGGCUUGAGUCUCGUAGAGGGGGUAGAAUUCCAGGUGUAGCGGUGAAAUGCGUAGAGAUCUGGAGGAAUACCGGUGGCGAAGGCGGCCCCUGGGACGAAGACUGACGCUCAGGUGCGAAAGCGUGGGGAGCGAAACAGGAUUAGGAUACC
rnacentral:rRNA from 1 species